UGGCUUAGAAGCAGCCAUCGUUUAAAGAAAGCGUAAUAGCUCACUGGUCUAAUGGCUCUGCGCCGAAAAUGUAACGGGGCUAAGCAUGGUACCGAAGCUUUGGCAAUCCCCUUUGGGGAUUGGGUAGGGGAGCGUUCGCUGCGGGCUGAAGGUGUGCCGGAAGGCAUGCUGGACUGCAGUGAAGUGAUUAUGCUGACAUGAGUAACGAUAAAAUAUGUGAAAAACAUAUUCGCCGAAAACCCGAGGUUUCCUGGGUAAAGGUAAUCUUCCCAGGGUUAGUCGGAUCCUAAGGUGAGGGUGAAAGCCGUAACCGAUGGAAAACAGGUUAAUAUUCCUGUACUUGUUGUGUAGCGCGAUGGAGGGACGCAGGAAGAUAGGCGGGCCGGGUGUUGGAUAUCCCGGUGCAAGCGUGUAGGAAUAUCCGGUAGGCAAAUCCGCCGGACGAAUCUGAGACGCGAGUCCGUGGGCGCAAGCCCUGAAGCCGUUGAGUCUAUGCUGCCUAGAAAAGCUCCUAAGUUUAUCCACAGCAAUCCGUACCGCAAACCAACUCAGGUGGGUGGGAUGAAUAAUCCAAGGCGCUCGAGAGAACUCUGGCCAAGGAACUCGGCAAAAUAACCCCGUAACUUCGGAAGAAGGGGUGCUCUCUAGGGUGACAUGUUUAACAUAUGAAGCCCCGGGGAGCCGCAGUGAAUUGGUGGUGGCGACUGUUUACUAAAAACAUAGGUCUGUGCGAAGUCCUAAAGACGACGUAUACGGACUGACGCCUGCCCGGUGCUGGAAGGUUAAAAGGAGGGGUCAGCGCAAGCAAAGCUCCGAAUUGAAGCCCCAGUAAACGGCGGCCGUAACUAUAACGGUCCUAAGGUAGCGAAAUUCCUUGUCGGGUAAGUUCCGACCUGCACGAAUGGCGUAACGAUCUCCACACUGUCUCGGCCAGAGACUCGGUGAAAUUGCAGUCGCGGUGAAAAUUCCGUGUACCCGCAGAAAGACGGAAAGACCCUGUGCACCUUUACUAUAGCUUGACAUUGGAUUUUGGGCCUGCAUGUGUAGGAUAGGUGGGAGGCUGUGAACCCUGUACGCCAGUAUGGGGGGAGCCAUCCUUGAAAUACCACCCUUGCAUGUUUAAGAUCCUAACUUCUUCCGGUUAUCCCGGAGAAAGACAGUGUCUGGCGGGUAGUUUGACUGGGGCGGUCGCCUCCUAAAGUGUAACGGAGGCAUGCAAAGGUUCCCUCAGCCUGAUCGGAAACCAGGCGCUGAGUGCAAACGCAUAAGGGAGCUUGACUGUAAGAGAGACAUCUCAAACAGGAACGAAAGUUGGCGUUAGUGAUCCGGUGGUCCCGAAUGGAAGGGCCAUCGCUCAUUGGAUAAAAGGUACGCCGGGGAUAACAGGCUGAUCGCAUCCAAGAGUUCACAUCGACGAUGCGGUUUGGCACCUCGAUGUCGGCUCAUCACAUCCUGGGGCUGAAGCAGGUCCCAAGGGUACGGCUGUUCGCCGUUUAAAGUGGUACGCGAGCUGGGUUUAAAACGUCGUGAGACAGUUUGGUCCCUAUCUUCUGUGGGCGAAGGAGAAUUGAGAGGGCCUGUCCCUAGUACGAGAGGACCGGGAUGGACGCACCCCUGGUGAUCCUGUUGUCGCGCCAGCGGCAUAGCAGGGUAGCUAUGUGCGGAAGGGAUAACCGCUGAAAGCAUCUAAGCGGGAAGCCUGCCUCAAGAUAAGUUCUCCCCUCGAAAGAGCUGAAGGGCCCGGGUAGACUACCCGGUCGAUAGGCUGGAGGUGUAAGCGCGGCGACGUGCUCAGCUGACCAGUACUAAUAGCCCGAGCGGCUUAUUU
rnacentral:rRNA from 1 species